AGAGAAAAUUGUUUAGUUUUGGGAGAGAAGAAUUUUGAUAAUGCGAUUGUAACAAUUUGCUUGCUUUCCAGCUUUCCCCUCUCUGUCGCCCGGUCAUCAGCUCUGACUGAGGAUACACUGAGAAGUCAAGGUCGGGAUGACCAGACGGCAUUAAGCGAUAACACCGCGUCAAUACUACUGUCUAACGGGAGGGGGAAAAACAACACAGUAAUUGGUUGAGAUCAAGUGAUUUGCAAGUCAACAACAUCUUCACUGUUUUAACUCAUUUGACCACAUCUUUUCUUCAUUUAGCUGCAAUGUUACAUCGUCCACGUCUGACGCCGAUCCUCUUUCUCAUAUAUUAUGUAAAGCAGAGAAUAGAUAUGAGUGUCCCCU